rnacentral:lncRNA from 1 species
AACAGGGGUUGGAGCUGGCUCCUAUCUAGAGGUCCUCAAGAGUGCUGGAGAGGGCCGGGGAUUUAGCUCAGUGGUUUUACCACCUGCUGCGCAAGCGCAAGGACCUGAGUUCGAUCCCGGGUACCAACCCCCCGCCCCCCCAAAAACAAAAAACAAAGAGUGCUGGAGAGAUGUGAUCCAUCAGGACUUGAGGUUCUUCUGGGUUUAGGACAGUGAGUGUGAAUUUUCUGAAGAACCAGGUUGGGCCAAGUCCCCCGUAAGGCAACCCUGGGAGCUCCUGAAACCAGUACCUGAGGAAGAUAGAAAGCAAAACCAAGAUGAGCCAUUCUGUGUCUUAUGUGGGACCUGACUCCACUGUCGUCUCUUGCUUUUCUCUCCCUUUCCCAUCCCUACUCAGGCCCCCCAACAUAUGGAGGCUGCUAUUUACCAGAUGCUACAUGGCCAUGCAGAUUUAGAGGAAUCGCUUUCCCAGCAGAGAGAACAGCAUGGGCAAAGGCCCUCUAGUGAGCAUGUCUGGUGUGUUGGGGGAACAGCAGUGAGGCCAACGUGACUGGAGCAGAGAAGAUAUCGAAUUCGGGUCCUUACUCUUGCAAGGGAGACGGUGGAACAACUGAGCUAAAUCCCUGGCCCACGGCUGUGAUAAUUUCUAAUCACUGUUAGUUGAUAAUGUGGGUCACAGUGAUGACAACCCCACAAGGAUUCAUAAUCACAGACCCCAUCUUUGGGGGUUCUUUGGGUGAAGGAAGAAGGGAGAAGGAUGGCCUGAGUGCAAUGCCACCCUGGGUUCCAAAGGAGGAACAAAAUAAAACACCCAUGCAGAUCUGGAAUCUUUUUGGAAACCAACUCCGCCCCAUCUUCUGGUGCCAGAACAGAAAUGUAGAGCCAUUUCUGGACAGCCACACAGCAAAGCAGCGAGAAGCUGGGAAGCCCCCUGUCCGGAUCCUCUUCUCUUCUCUGGGUGUGAUCACAGAGAAAAGGGUGGGAUUGGGGAGAGCUGGGAGAAGACCCCGCCCAGCCAGCCCAGAUCCAAAUGUGCACGUGAUGGAACUGUCUGCACAGCCAAGGACCCCUCCCUCCCGAGGAGAAAAUCCCACAACUGGGGAACAUCUGGAUCAAACCACAGCCAUGAAAGCACAACAUCAAACGAGGGUUUCUGAGCAACCCUCCCAACAGGCCCUGGUCCAAGAGAAAAUGCAGAUCUUCCUGCUUGAAGCUUUUAAGUGUCACAGAACCCCUGAGUUUGGGAUCUCUCCUUAUUCACAGGAGACAGAUGUCCCGAGUGAGGAUGGUUGGGUUUGA